UUUGCCCCCCUUCUACCUCUUUAUUACUGAGUUGCCAUUCUCUCGCUCCUCGUAUAACUUCAUUUUGUACUCUCUUGCACCUCUCUCCUGAUAUUCAGCUAUUUUCUCUCUCCUCAUUUUCUCUGUCAUUCGAGCUCCUCAUUUUCUAGGGUUCUAAACUUCCAUUCCCUUCUUCAUAAUUCACUCCAUCGAAUACCAAACCACUCUAACUCCUAACUAUCAAUUUCAAAUCGAAACUCUAAAUUCUUAAUUACAAAGUGACCGAUGAAUGAUUUUUGGAAAAUUAGGGGUUCUGUUCUUCAGAAAAGGUCAAAUCUUCGCGUGUUUUGAUCAAUUUGAUGCUAUUUUUGCUAAUUUUGUUGAUUGUUGAUGAGAUUCUGUGUGGCCAUCUCCCAUCUCCUUCCCACUCGCUCGAACCAAAUCCAACACCAGGUAUCAUCAAUAGUUCUUCAUCUUUACAUCAUGAAGUGAUUUCUAAGUUGUUAAUCUGAUUUUAUUUAAGUAUUAAAUUAGAGUAGUGUGUUGCAGAGAUGAAGAUUAUUGCAGCUUGCUUGUUGGUUGCUUUGGGCGGUAAAGCUUUCACUACUGCCGGUUAUGUCAAGAAAAUUAUUGGAUCAGCUGGAAACUCUCUUGAAAUUUUAUGUUCCGGCAUAUCGAUAUCUUACCCUCCAGUGCUUAUCUGAGAAAGUACGGUAUCUAGGUUAUAGUAGACCUGCACGCAGCACCCGGGUCACAAAUUGGGAAUGAACACAGUGCAACUAGAGAUGGAUCUCUUGAAUGGGCUGAUGAAACUGUUCAACAAAGUGUUGAUGUUAUCGACUUCUUAGCUUCACGGGCAUGGGUGAUAUGAAAGCAAUAUCAAGCUUGGAUUUGGAAGGAGUGGCUGUGUAGUUGUCCAGGGGUUUUAAGAAUGGAUCAGGAUCCAGAAACUUAACAAUCAUCAACGGCUACAAAACAAUGCAAUCAUGAAUCAGAUUCUUGAGUUGAAAAAUCUUCAACUUACUGGAGGAGAUAAUCAGAAAAAUCAUUGCAUCAUAAUGGAGAAUAUGUUACACCCUUCUCCAUCCACAUCACUUCAGGAGUAUUAGUCAAUGACAGACUCGAGCAGCAAUGCAAGGAACUCAAUUGUCUCACUAAUGAGCUUCAGAGCUUAGACAACUCAAGUCAAGUGUUAAUGAGGGAAGAUUAAUUUGUGUUGCAGAGAUGAUUGUUGCCGCUUACUUUUUGGAUGCUUUAAGCGGUAAAGCUUGCCCUACUGCCGAUGAUGUCAUGAAAAAUCUUGGGCAGAUCGGCAGAGUUGGAGCAGCAACAAAUCACGAUGAAGAAAUCACUAAACAAAAAUGAAACGUCUCCAUCGAUCCAUUAUGUCUAGGUUUUAGGGUUCCCAAUUCAUUGCCGUCCCCGCAACAAAAAAUGGGCUGAUAAAGAGGCAACACAUAGUCGACCAGCAACAACUCUCUCCGUGAUUAAUGCCCUAUAGUGGUGCCUAAGCAAGUGGAGUUGGAUUAGGCGGCGUUAGAGGACAACACUGAGGAGGCUUUGGAGGUUACAUUUGAGGAGUGAUCUCUUUCACAGACGUCUUCCUUUUGCCGAGAAUGCUCAUCCACGCUACAAAUGCGUGAAAGUUAAUAAGUGACGAAGUUAUGUAUCAUGGCAAUAUGCAUCUACACUUUUGGAAGAAGUCCUUAUUAUGUAACACUGUUUUAGAACUUAAACUACCCAUUACUCCUUUUGGGUCACUUGUACUUUAGAAAACUCGAUGGAUGUCUCCGAUUAUUUUCAUUCCAUAAUUAGGCUCCUGAUUUGCAUAAUAUCUUGGAAGAUAGAUAUAUAUAACUUGGGGGACCACUGUGUUAUCCUUCAGAAAGGUGGCUUUUGCUACCACUUCUGUAUUACUGCUUCUUCUGUCUUACUGAUUCUUGAGCAUUCAACUUAUUGACAACUUGAAGGACAUGUGUUUUG